rnacentral:tRNA from 1 species
GGCGGAUGUAGCCAAGUGGAUCAAGGCAGUGGAUUGUGAAC